rnacentral:lncRNA from 1 species
UAAUUACAUGCAGAUUCUCUUAUAUCCAAACAAAAAAUUUCCGCAUUUUCAGAAGAUAAUAAACUUGUGUGGAUAGGCAUCCAAGGUUGCAAAAGCUUGACGGUUGAUCAUCUCUCUGUACUCAAAACCAGUCUACGGCCGAUGUAAGGAUAACAUGGCCCAACGGCCGACAAAGAAAUAUAAGUGACAUGAUAGAAAACAGUCGUUGGAGGGAUGCUGCGCAUUUCAGGACGCGUGGCGUAUUGUAAGUGAGGAAAAUUGCCAAAUCGUAUAAUUUAUGUUUCGACUUGAUUAUUUACGUAUUUCCAAUUUAAUCUCGCCUAAAAAAAUUUCCAACAAAAGGGCCAGCAAAUGUUAAAACAAAAUAGUUUGUUUCACUCACAAACUGCCCUCGGUAAAUGCAACAUUUAUUCUAGUAAAACGCAACAUUUACUUCAGUAAAUGCAACAUUUAUUCCAGUAAAAUGCAACAUUUAAUUCUAGAUAUGUUGGUUUUGCAGCAGGACCAAACACUUGGAAGAAGUUUGUUUCGCUAGGAACCAAACUGCAUUAUAGCAAAGCUUGGAAAACUGGUGGAUCGGUGUUCGGUUUGGUUUCACUGUAAUUAAUAUGGUUGGAUACUUUUUCAUCUGCAGUCAACUUCAAAAAAUCGGUUGCACCUAACCGGAUUGACAGCUUGAGUUGAUUUCGGUACCCCGAAACCACCUUUGUUUCGGUUCAGUUGGGGUAACACAGAACUUGAUUAGGAGUUAAAUACACCGGAUGUUGCUAAAUUUUAAUUUGUAA